UUAAAUUGGGGAGGAAAGUCCAGACACCACAGAGUACCAUACCGAUUGAAAAAUUGGGCGAAUUUAGCUAAAGCUAAUUUUGACAGAUAGUGCCGCAGAAAAUAAACCGCUUUAAGCAAUUAGAGUAAGGGUGAAAAGGUGCGGUAAGAGCGCACCAGUAUAUUCAGUAAUGAAUUUAGCUUGGUAAACCUUAUGGGGUGCAAGAUCAUGUAAACCAGAGCUUAGAGCUACUCGCUCAAUCUGGAGGGUAGAUUGCACAGUUAAAUGAUAGAUUAAAACAGAAUCUGGCUUAUU
rnacentral:RNase_P_RNA from 1 species